rnacentral:tRNA from 2 species
GCGCGCAUAGCUCAGUUGGUUAGAGCGUGUCUUUGACGUAGACAAGGUCCCACGUUCGAAUCGUGGUGCGCGCA